UCGUAGUUGGAUACGAAUAGGCCUCCGGGCCAUGUACCUCAGCAGGCUGGCGACGGCCCCCGGGGAGAAACCCCCGAGGGCUGGCUGGCGGAUUGCAAUGUCACCUCGCGCGGGGAUGAAUCCUCUGCAGACGACUGAAGUGACCAAGCGGGUCGUGUAAGCGGUCAAGUAGCCUUGUUGCUACGAGUCGCUGAGCGUCAGCCCGAUCCUUGGCUAGAUUU
rnacentral:rRNA from 1 species